CAGUCGCCGCGGUAAUACGUAGGGUGCAAGCGUUGUCCGGAAUUAUUGGGCGUAAAGAGCUCGUAGGCGGUUUGUCGCGUCUGCUGUGAAAACGCGAGGCUCAACCUCGCGCCUGCAGUGGGUACGGGCAGACUAGAGUGCGGUAGGGGAGAUUGGAAUUCCUGGUGUAGCGGUGGAAUGCGCAGAUAUCAGGAGGAACACCGAUGGCGAAGGCAGAUCUCUGGGCCGUAACUGACGCUGAGGAGCGAAAGCGUGGGGAGCGAACAGGAUUAGAGACCCCGGUAGUCCCUGUCUCUUAUAC
rnacentral:rRNA from 1 species